AGAGGGCAAGCCGAAAACCUCAAAAUAGAGUAGGCG
rfam:Reichenbachiella agariperforans strain DSM 26134 genome assembly, contig: Ga0070003_107